AGAAGCUAGAGACAAACCUAAGGCUAGGAAACCAACCCCCAGUGCAGGGGCCACUUACUACUGUAAUGCCUUAAACCUUCCUAUGCCAACAGGUGGUUCUGGAGGAUUUAAUUACAGUGCUGUCUCUGGUUCUCCCUUCACCCGGUUGCCUUGUGACAGUUUUACAUCCAGCCUUUUACAAGUCGACUUGGACAGGCGCUGUCUGGAGGAAUGUCCUCAGCUGGGUGUUAGGGAUGAAUUACAACUUCUCAGCCUCCAGCACAAUCUCAUCACAAGGAUCCAGCAUUUGUCACAUCUGCAACAUCUUGUCUUCCUGAACUUGUAUAACAAUCACGUCUCUGAAAUGACUGGCAUUGAAGCUCUAAGCUCUCUCAGGAUCCUAAUGCUAGGGAA